CCUACGGGAGGCAGCAGUGGGGAAUCUUGCGCAAUGGGCGAAAGCCUGACGCAGCCAUGCCGCGUGAAUGAUGAAGGUCUUAGGAUUGUAAAAUUCUUUCACCGGGGACGAUAAUGACGGUACCCGGAGAAGAAGCCCCGGCUAACUUCGUGCCAGCAGCCGCGGUAAUACGAAGGGGGCUAGCGUUGCUCGGAAUUACUGGGCGUAAAGGGAGCGUAGGCGGAUAGUUUAGUCAGAGGUGAAAGCCCAGGGCUCAACCUUGGAAUUGCCUUUGAUACUGGCUAUCUUGAGUGUGGGAGAGGUAUGUGGAACUCCGAGUGUAGAGGUGAAAUUCGUAGAUAUUCGGAAGAACACCAGUGGCGAAGGCGACAUACUGGCCCAUUACUGACGCUGAGGCUCGAAAGCGUGGGGAGCAAACAGGAUUAGAUACCCUGGUAGUCCACGCUGUAAACGAUGAGUGCUAGUUGUCGGCAGGCAUGCCUGUCGGUGACGCAGCUAACGCAUUAAGCACUCCGCCUGGGGAGUACGGUCGCAAGAUUAAAACUCAAAAUGAAUUGACGG
rnacentral:rRNA from 1 species